GCCAGUGGCCAUAGUGGUGAGGUCAUCCCCGUUCCCAUUCCGAACACGGAAGUUAAGCUCAUUCGCGUCGAAGAUACUUGGCUGGAGACGGCCCGGGAAAAUAGUUCAAUGCCGGCA
rnacentral:rRNA from 1 species